ACGGAAGGCAGCAGUGGGGAAUAUUGGGCAAUGGGCGAAAGCCUGACCCAGCAACGCCGCGUGAAGGAAGAAGGCCUUCGGGUUGUAAACUUCUUUUAUCAGGGACGAAGGACGUGACGGUACCUGGAGAAAAAGCAACGGCUAACUACGUGCCAGCAGCCGCGGUAAUACGUAGGUUGCAAGCGUUGUCCGGAUUUACUGGGUGUAAAGGGCGUGUAGGCGGAGCUGCAAGUCAGAUGUGAGAUCCCGGGGCUCAACCCCGGAACUGCAUUUGAAACUGUAGCCCUUGAGUAUCGGAGAGGCAAGCGGAAUUCCUAGUGUAGCGGUGAAAUGCGUAGAUAUUAGGAGGAACACCAGUGGCGAAGGCGGCUUGCUGGACGACAACUGACGCUGAGGCGCGAAAGUGCGGGGAUCGAACAGGAUUAGAUACCCUGGUA
rnacentral:rRNA from 1 species